UACGGAGGGUGCGAGCGUUGUCCGGAAUCACUGGGCGUAAAGGGCGCGUAGGCGGCUUCUCAAGCGUGUGGUGAAAGUCCGGGGCUCAACCCCGGAUCGGCCGUGCGGACUGGGGAGCUCGAGUUCUGUAGAGGCGGGUGGAAUUCCGGGUGUAGCGGUGGAAUGCGUAGAGAUCCGGAAGAACACCGGUGGCGAAGGCGGCCCGCUGGGCAGAGACUGACGCUGAGGCGCGACAGCGUGGGGAGCAACAGG
rnacentral:rRNA from 1 species